rnacentral:rRNA from 1 species
AGAAUCAACGCUGGCGGCGUGCCUAACACAUGCAAGUCGAACGAGAAAGUGGGAGCAAUCCCACGAGUAAAGUGGCGCACGGGUGAGUAACACGUGACUAACCUACCCUUGAGUGGGGGAUAACCUAGGGAAACCUGGGCUAAUACCGCAUAAUACCUACGGGUCAAAGGAGCAAUUCGCUUUAGGAGGGGGUCGCGGCAGAUUAGUUAGUUGGCGGGGUAAUGGCCCACCAAGACAGUGAUCUGUAUCCGGCCUGAGAGGGCGCACGGACACACUGGAACUGAAACACGGUCCAGACUCCUACGGGAGGCAGCAGUGGGGAAUUUGCGCAAUGGGGGAAACCCUGACGCAGCAACGCCGCGUGGAGGAUGAAGCCCCUUGGGGCGUAAACUCCUUUCGAUCGGGAAGAUAAUGGACGGUACCGGAAGAAGAACGCCCCGGCUAACUUCGCGCCAGCAGCCGC